rnacentral:rRNA from 1 species
CAGCUUGUUGGUGGGGUAACGGCCUACCAAGGCGACGACGGAUAGCUGGUCUGAGAGGACGAUCAGCCACACUGGGACUGAGACACGGCCCAGACUCCUACGGGAGGCAGCAGUGGGGAAUCUUGCGCAAUGGGGGAAACCCUGACGCAGCGACGCCGCGUGCGGGAUGAAGGCCUUCGGGUUGUAAACCGCUUUCAGCAGGGACGAAAUUGACGGUACCUGCAGAAGAAGGCCCGGCCAACUACGUGCCAGCAGCCGCGGUAAUACGUAGGGGCCUAGCGUUGUCCGGAAUUAUUGGGCGUAAAGAGCUCGUAGGCGGUUCGGCAAGUCGGACGUGAAAUCUCCACGCUUAACGUGGAGGGGCCAUUCGAAACUGCUGUGACUCGAGUCCGGUAGGGGAGUGUGGAAUUCCCGGUGUAGCGGUGAAAUGCGCAGAUAUCGGGAGGAACACCAGUAGCGAAGGCGGCACUCUGGGCCGGUACUGACGCUGAGGAGCGAAAGCGUGGGGAGCGAACAGGAUUAGAUACCCUGGUAGUCCACGCCGUAAACGUUGGGCACUAAGUGUGGGA